rnacentral:rRNA from 1 species
UACGAAGGGGGCUAGAGUUGUUCGGAAUUACUGGGCGUAAAGCGCACGUAGGCGGCUCGUUAAAUAAGGAGUGAAAGCCCUGGGCUCAACCCGGGAAUUGCUCUUUAGACUGGCGAGCUUGAAUCUGGAAGAGGGCAGUGGAAUUCCCAGUGUAGAGGUGAAAUUCGUAGAUAUCGGGAAGAACACCAGUGGCGAAGGCGACUGCCUGGUCCGGUAUUGACGCUGAUGUGCGAAAGCGUGGGGAG